rnacentral:rRNA from 1 species
CCUACGGGAGGCAGCAGUGGGGGAUAUUGCACAAUGGGGGGAACCCUGAUGCAGCGACGCCGCGUGUGGGAAGACGGUCCUCUGGAUUGUAAACCACUGUCCCCAGGGACGAAAAUGACGGUACCUGGGGAGGAAGCUCCGUCUAACUACGUGCCAGCAGCCGCGGUAAUACGUAGGGAGCGAGCGUUGUCCGGAUUUACUGGGUGUAAAGGGAGCGUAGGCGGGGAUGAAAGUAGGGUGUCAAAACUACCGGCUAAACUGGUAGUCGCACUCGAAACUGCAGCUCUUGAGUGAAGUAGAGGCAGGCGGAAUUCGUAGUGUAGCGGUGAAAUGCGUAGAUAUUAGGAAGAACACCGGUGGCGAAGGCAGCCUGCUGGGCUUUUACUGACGCUGAGGCUCGAAAGUGUGGGGAGCAAACAGGAUUAGAUACCCGGGUAGUC